UUAAAGUCACAACGGUAAAAGAUGAGCAUGCGUCCCAUUAGCUAGUUGGUAAGGUAACGGCUUACCAAGGCUACGAUGGGUAGGGGUCCUGAGAGGGAGAUCCCCCACACUGGUACUGAGACACGGACCAGACUCCUACGGGAGGCAGCAGUGAGGAAUAUUGGACAAUGGGCGCAAGCCUGAUCCAGCCAUGCCGCGUGCAGGAUGACGGUCCUAUGGAUUGUAAACUGCUUUUAUACGAGAAGAAACACUACUUCGUGAAGUAGCUUGACGGUAUCGUAAGAAUAAGGAUCGGCUAACUCCGUGCCAGCAGCCGCGGUAAUACGGAGGAUCCAAGCGUUAUCCGGAAUCAUUGGGUUUAAAGGGUCCGUAGGCGGUUUAAUAAGUCAGUGGUGAAAGCCCAUCGCUCAACGGUGGAACGGCCAUUGAUACUGUUAGACUUGAAUUAUUAGGAAGUAACUAGAAUAUGUAGUGUAGCGGUGAAAUGCUUAGAGAUUACAUGGAAUACCAAUUGCGAAGGCAGGUUACUACUAAUUGAUUGACGCUGAUGGACGAAAGCGUGGGUAGCGAACAGGAUUAGAUACCCUGGUAGUCCACGCCGUAAACGAUGGAUACUAGCUGUUGGGAGCAAUCUCAGUGGCUAAGCGAAAGUGAUAAGUAUCCCACCUGGGGAGUACGUUCGCAAGAAUGAAACUCAAAGGAAUUGACGGGGGCCCGCACAAGCGGUGGAGCAUGUGGUUUAAUUCGAUGAUACGCGAGGAACCUUACCAAGGCUUAAAUGUAGAUUGACCGGUUUGGAAACAGAUCUUUCGCAAGACAAUUUACAAGGUGCUGCAUGGUUGUCGUCAGCUCGUGCCGUGAGGUGUCAGGUUAAGUCCUAUAACGAGCGCAACCCCUGUUGUUAGUUGCCAGCGAGUCAUGUCGGGAACUCUAACAAGACUGCCAGUGCAA
rnacentral:rRNA from 1 species